rnacentral:rRNA from 1 species
GUAGGUGGCAAGCGUUGUCCGGAAUUAUUGGGCGUAAAGCGCGCGCAGGCGGUUCUUUAAGUCUGAUGUGAAAGCCCACGGCUCAACCGUGGAGGGUCAUUGGAAACUGGAGAACUUGAGUACAGAAGAGGAAAGCGGAAUUCCACAUGUAGCGGUGAAAUGCGUAGAGAUGUGGAGGAACACCAGUGGCGAAGGCGGCUUUCUGGUCUGUAACUGACGCUGAGGCGCGAAAGCGUGGGGGAGCAAACAGGAUUAGAUACCCUGGUAGUCCACGCCGUAAACGAUGAGUGCUAAGUGUUAGGGGGUUUCCGCCCCUUAGUGCUGCAGCUAACGCAUUAAGCACUCCGCCUGGGAGUACGGCCGCAAGGCUG